rnacentral:rRNA from 1 species
AAGCCCAGCUUGCUGGGUGGAUUAGUGGCGAACGGGUGAGUAACACGUGAGUAACCUGCCCCCGACUUUGGGAUAAGCCCGGGAAACUGGGUCUAAUACCGGAUAUGACUUCCUGCCGCAUGGUGGGUUGUUGAAAGAUUUAUCGGUGGGGGAUGGACUCGCGGCCUAUCAGCUUGUUGGUGAGGUAAUGGCUCACCAAGGCGACGACGGGUAGCCGGCCUGAGAGGGUGACCGGCCACACUGGGACUGAGACACGGCCCAGACUCCUACGGGAGGCAGCAGUGGGGAAUAUUGCACAAUGGGCGGAAGCCUGAUGCAGCGACGCCGCGUGAGGGAUGACGGCCUUCGGGUUGUAAACCUCUUUCAGUAGGGAAGAAGCGAAAGUGACGGUACCUGCAGAAGAAGCGCCGGCUAACUACGUGCCAGCAGCCGCGGUAAUACGUAGGGCGCAAGCGUUAUCCGGAUUUAUUGGGCGUAAAGAGCUCGUAGGCGGUUUGUCGCGUCUGCCGUGAAAGUCCGAGGCUCAACCUCGGAUCUGCGGUGGGUACGGGCAGACUAGAGUGAUGUAGGGGAGACUGGAAUUCCUGGUGUAGCGGUGAAAUGCGCAGAUAUCAGGAGGAACACCGAUGGCGAAGGCAGGUCUCUGGGCAUUUACUGACGCUGAGGAGCGA